GACUUGUUGGUGUACUGGUUAAAGUUCAAUUCUAGAAAACAAGUCACCUGAUGUGGUUAUGGGUUCAAAUCCCAUCCAAGGCA